CAAACCAAAAGAAUUUUGAUCUUUGCUGGCCCAAUACUUGGAAAGGCUCUCCUUUAGGUUGCUCGCAGCCACACGAAGUCAUCUGACCUCUACAACACGUCUACACAAAGACUGGUGCAGAUUAGGGUCCUUGAAAGUGCUAGCUUGAAAGGAACUUAGAGACUGAUUUCUUCCUUCCUCUUCAAUGGCCUUGGAUGGAAAAAUAAACACCAGCAAGGGAACAAAGAUGUGACACCAA
rnacentral:lncRNA from 1 species